UACGUAGGGGGCGAGCGUUGUCCGGAUUUAUUGGGCGUAAAGAGCUCGUAGGCGGCUGUUCGAGUCGGGUGUGAAAUCCUGAGGCUUAACCUUGGGUCUGCAUUCGAUACUGGGCGGCUUGAGUCUGGUAGGGGGAUCUGGAAUUCCUGGUGUAGCGGUGAAAUGCGUAGAUAUCAGGAGGAACACCGGUGGCGAAGGCGGCCCUCUGGACGGUGACUGACGCUGAGACGCGAAAGCGUGGGGAGCAAACAGG
rnacentral:rRNA from 1 species